UACGAAGGGGGCUAGCGUUGCUCGGAAUCACUGGGCGUAAAGGGUGCGUAGGCGGGUUUUUAAGUCAGGGGUGAAAUCCUGGAGCUCAACUCCAGAACUGCCUUUGAUACUGAAGAUCUUGAGUAUGGUAGAGGUUGGUGGAACUGCGAGUGUAGAGGUGAAAUUCGUAGAUAUUCGCAAGAACACCAGUGGCGAAGGCGGCCAACUGGACCAUUACUGACGCUGAGGUGCGAAAGCGUGGGGAGCAAACAGG
rnacentral:rRNA from 1 species